GUGUCAGCAGCCGCGGUAAUACGUAGGGUGCGAGCGUUAAUCGGAAUUACUGGGCGUAAAGCGUGCGCAGGCGGUUUUGUAAGACAGAUGUGAAAUCCCCGGGCUUAACCUGGGAACUGCGUUUGUGACUGCAAGACUCGAGUGUGGCAGAGGGGGGUGGAAUUCCACGUGUAGCAGUGAAAUGCGUAGAGAUGUGGAGGAACACCGAUGGCGAAGGCAGCCCCCUGGGUUAACACUGACGCUCAUGCACGAAAGCGUGGGUAGCAAACAGGAUUAGAUACCCUGGUAGUCCACGCCCUAAACGAUGCGAACUAGGUGUUGGAGAAGGAGACUUCUUUAGUACCGCAGCUAACGCGUGAAGUUCGCCGCCUGGGGAGUACGGUCGCAAGAUUAAA
rnacentral:rRNA from 1 species